GCUGUUACAGUUUUCUGAUGUGUUUUGUUUGGAUGAUAUUAGAACAAUUUCAAUAUGAAAGUGCAGCCUGUACGUGCAGGUGUCUUUAGACAUGAGCCAUAAUGUAUAUAUCAAAAUACUGAUAAAAUCCGUUUCCAGCUUGAUUGUAUUUGCAUUUGUUGUAUUUCCAUUGUUGCAGACAAAAUUGUGCAAUGGUGGGCUUAUGUCACAUACUCGUAUGUAAUUCCAUGUGCCUGCAUGUACAGUACUUUGAUGCCUCAAGAGAUGCUUCGAAUGUGUAAUAAACGGCUGUUCGCAGGAGUUGGGCUGUCUGGCCUUAAAUUGCAUUGUUUUUAUGAUAUUUUAAGAUUGUAUUCAUAUGGCUGGACCAUCUUGCCAUUGCCACAAUGUCUGAUGUUCAAACAGGCUUUAAAAUCAGGUUACAAUGCAUGCUUGAAAAUAUGCAACAAUAUCACUGCUAAUAAUAUUCCAGAAAACCCUGCCUCUUGGGCAGAUCUGGACUGAUUUGUCAGAGGUGGUGGAGGUUUUCUACUUGUGAUCGGGCAAGGGGAGCUAGCCAAGGGUGCUGGUCAGAGUCAAACUCAUGUGAACAGCUUCUAAGUCCUAAUUAUAUUGAUAAAUUAUGUACACUUUGGGAUGGUAAUGCAAUUUGUAAAAUAUUCCACAUUUUGUUUAAUAAAAUUUAAUUAUAUACAUUGUUUUUGUUGUUUAUAUUAAC